rnacentral:tRNA from 1 species
UUAAUUGAAACCAAAAAGAGGUCUACCACUGUUAAUGGUAAAAUUGAAUUCAAUUCCAAUUAAA